UCUGUUAUUUUUAAAUGUACGUCUGCCUAGUAUAAAGCAUACAUUUUUAUUUUUAGCAAUCUUAAUGAGGCCGGGCAGAUGCAUCUCCUCCAAAUGCUUAGGGUAAUAGACAUAAUUUGAAAUGCAGAAGUUUAGCAUUCUCCAGGAAAAAAAAUUAAACCUUAAUGUAUUCUUGGUACAAUCCAGAGAAAAUUAGAUCUGUUUUAAGUCCUGUUGACAUCAAUGGGAUUUGGGGGCCCAAUUAAGCAGGUACAUUCAAUGGAUGUUGAUUGGAGACAGAUGCACUUAGCAAAAUUUGGAUUGCACCCAAUAGGUUUUGUGUGCUGAUAUCCUUAAAGCCUACCGAACAAGCAUAUUUGUAAUACGUAGGUAGUACGUUGUUAAUAGCGCACUAAUGUCAGGCAGACAAAUCUAUUAGACCUGUUGGGAUCUUGAUGAAACAGUAAUUUAUAAUGCACAAAGUAUGCAGUGUGCAUAGAGCCACAGACAGAAUCUAUUUAUAUCUUAAUUUAAUAUCUCUGGGUUGUUUAAAAUAUUAAAGUGUAAAAGACGCCAACAGUAUAUGUAGAUCCUGAUGUGGAAACAGACACAUUAUGAAGAGACCUUGAAGACCCUGUAACCAAGGCAAGUGAUCUUUAGGCUUGUAAAGGAGGUUGAGCCAGAUAUAAACCAGCCCUUCCCACUCUAUUUCUUUUAUUAAAAACUAACCUACUAUAUCUAAGGAGUAAAUAAGAAUCCCCAGACCCUGAUCUUAGACACUGAUGUCAUGGAAAGAUUUGAAAUAGGGGCACUCAUCAUAACAUUUUCCACAGCCACUUCCUAAGGAGAGCUCCAAUACAAACAGUUGUGGUAGUGUACAACAGACCAACCAGAGAUCUUAAUUGCUCAUUCAUGACCAAGCAACCUUUCAAAAUAUUUUGGGUUACAAUAGGGAUAAAUUAUAGCAAACUCAUUUUCUAUCCUUUGACUUUAAGCACUGCAGCUAAGCUGAGAGGGACCAGAAAAGGUGCUUGAAGGAGUAGCAGGUAAUUAUCAGCCUCAUCCAUGCCAAUGGAUUAUGAUUAACAUUAUCUAUGCUAAUCAUAAAUUUCUGCCCAUUAUAUCACUGGUCUCACUCACAAAUUCAAUGUAAUACCAAUGACGAUAGGCAAGACUAAGGCCAAUCAUAAGAAAUGAAGUUGUUCAUCAUCAUUCCACUUCCAAUUCUACCAGCUUUUUUUCCUUGCACAAUCAUAGCUGUUGAUCUCAGGUUUGUUUUAUUUUUUUUAAAAAAUCAAUUAAUGUGAAUUUUAAAUGAAUUUUGAAAACAUUUUCCAUUUUUCAGCUUGUUAUAUCUGUACCCCAGUGGCAAAGUGAGUUAAAGCACUGAGCUGCUGAACUUGCAGACUGAAAGGUCCUAGGUUCAAACCCCAGGAGCAGUGUGAGUGGCCACUGUCAGCCCCAGCUUCUGCCAACCUAGCAGUUCGAAACCUGCCAAUGUGAGUAGAUCAAUAGGUACCGCUCCAGCGGGAAGGUAACGGCGUUCCAUGCAAUCAUGCUGGCCACAUGACCUUGGAGGUGUCUACGGACAACGCCGGCUCUUUGGCUUAGAAAUGGAGAUGAGCACCAACCCCCAGAGUCAGACAUGACUGGACUUAACGUCAGGGGAAAACCUUUACCUUUACCUUUAUAUCUGUAAUUAAAUUUGUUUACAAUAGAACAAAGAUCCUUUAAAUUUUAAUACCAUUAAUAAUUCUAAUUAUAUAAAAUAUAAAUAUGAUAUUCAGAAAUUAUUUUAAAAGAAAGCCUCUUCUUAUGUCUUUCUCAGGAAGAAGAAAAGACCAUGAAUCAUCAUUUUCCUGACCAGCUUUGUACUCUGUGGAUCAGUUGAUGGAAUUUCCCAUUUUCUUCUAGUUCCUUUUAAAUUUCAAAUCUCUGUGUGAGGUUUUCAAUAAGACCUGAAUCAGCCCAAAUGAAGGAGCUUUACAUCUUGGACAUGGAGGCCUGAAGCUUUCAGCUAGGAAUGUAAAGGUUGCUUAAUGUGCUACUGUGCUCUUCGCAAGUGCCAAUAUUUUCUUUUCAAGCAUGAAGCUGAGUUAGUAGUAACUGCUGUUGGACACCCAUUGUGUGUGUUACGCUGGUGGGUUUCUAAUGCAUUUGUGUACUACAGAGCACUGUGUUAGAUAGGAGACCACUAUAUUUUGGUAUGUAUUUGUUGAAGCAAUUAAUAAAGAGAACUAAGAAAUAUCAAAUAAGCAAAAGAUUUAGCUUCUGAAAUAAAUAUUUAUAUACUGUUCCACUCAUCUAUUAUCUACAUUUUCUGCAUAUUUUUUUGUCAUUGAGAGGCCUGGUAAAAUAAUCCUGUAUCUGUCAAGGGGAUGAAGCCAAAAUAUGCUAGAACAGCCAAGGUACAUAAUUAUGGUUUAGGAUGUCCUUUAUUUUAGCCUUCACAAGUCUUAUAGAACCAGCAAGUGUCCCUUAUUGUAAGGGACAGGAAAGGUAAUGAGUUUAUAUAGAAUGAAUAAGAUGUCAACAAAUCCCAUAUUUGGAGGUGUUGGUCCUUCGUAAAAGCAGAAAUGUGAGGCUCAGGUAAUUUAUGAAUGUGGGCAAGUGAGCUGGAAUGUGGGCAAGUCAUCCCUCCAUGUUUGCUGGAAUUAGGCACAUAGGGCCACCACAAAAGUUGGGAGAAAAUGAAUUGAAUUACAAAAUGUUUUUAACAUAAGAGAACACCUCUCCAGGAAUCUAAGUCUUACAGCAUGACUAUAGUCCACUUACAGCAGAAGUUUUUGGGUUACUGAAAGCACGACCUUCAACUUUUGCUCAUAUUUACAAUGUGUAGAAAUCAUGAGGUAUGUGAGUUGUGUGCAGACCUUAGUAGGGUCCUAUGAUACUUUUGAAACACCCACUGACCUUCCAAAAAUAUUCAGCACAAAAAAAUCCUUGUUCAUAUAGUCACAGUCAAGCCAAAAAAAUACCUUAAAUGUUGACUCCAUGCUUUAUGGAAUUGUAGAAUUGUUGGGUGGAAAGGGAUUUCUCAACCCAGAAUAGUCCAAACCCCCUCCUAACAUGAAAGGCAAUUGUUUCAUCACUUCUAGUUACCCAAAAGUCAUAUUGACAAGCCAACAAUUUCCAAAACUCUGAUGCUGCUGAAAAUGGAUCGGUGCGACAUCCAGUUUUCUAAAUAAUUCUGUGUGAAAUGCAACUAAUGUGAAUCGAAACAGUCCUGAGGUCUAAAAGGGAAUAAAAACUAGUCUGAGUGAAACAAACCAGAGAGGAGAAGCAAAAAGAUAACCCAAAGAAGCUAUUGUCAAAGGUCACAAAAAUCAAGGUAAGGAUAUUAACCCUUGAUAUCCUUGCCUUAAUCUUUGUGAUGUUUGAUAAAAGUCUUCCAUGGAAGUGUCAAACAACCCUGCCUUUAUGAAACCUGUCCCUGCUGGUUUGCGUUUAAUUACUUUGAUUUUAUCUGCUUGGAUUUUAAUGUAUUGUCCAUUAUUUUAUAUUGUGUAUUGUUGGAAGGUUUUAAGUUUUUGUCAAAUAUGUUGUGUCGUUGUUUUGGGCUUGUCCCUGUUGUGAGCCGCCCCGAGUCCCUUCGGGGAGAUGGGGCAGGAUAUAGAAAUAAAGAUUAUUAUUAUUAUUAUUA